rnacentral:rRNA from 1 species
ACUCAAAUGAAUAGACGGGGACCCGCACAAGCGGUGGAGCGUGUGGUUUAAUUCGAGGCUACGCGAAGAACCUUACCAGGGUUUGACAUCCUGGUCGUAACUCUAGGAAACUAGAGUGUCAUUUAGUUGGACCAGUGACAGGUGAUGCAUGGUCGUCGUCAGCUCGUGUCGUGAGAUGUUAGGUUAAGUCCUUCAACGAGCGCAACCCUCGUGGUUAGUUGUAUUUUUCUAACCAGACUGCCUCGGUAACGGGGAGGAAGGAGGGGAUGACGUCAGAUCAGCAUGUCCCUUACAUCCUGGGCUACACACACGCUACAAUGGCCGGUACAAUGGGCAGCUAAGCCGCGAGGUGGAGCUAAUCCCACCAAAACCGGUCCCAGUUCGGAUUGUAGGCUGAAACUCGCCUGCAUGAAGUUGGAAUCGCUAGUAACCGUAGGUCAGCACACUACGGUGAAUACGUUCCCGGGUCUUGCACACACCGCCCGU